AAAUGACCAUCCACAAACAAGAAAACUCCCAGUAAAAGACACUGGAUUAUGUGUAUUCCUGUGAACAGAAAAAAAUUCAGCUGCAAGCCUGUGGCAUUCAAUUUCAUCUUUCAGGAAUUUUCUUCAUAUUCACAAAUGAAUAGACAUUAUUCAGCUUUUGUCUGCAAAUGAUAAAACAAAGCCAGCACCAGGAAACAGAGCCAAGGAGAAGAACAGCCUUGAACGCGGAAGAACACGCGGAUGCGAUGUGGCUGAGAUGUCAGAAAUAGAACUGCAGCAGUUUGGCAUGAAGUAUCAGAGAGAGCAAGAGUAUACAGCAAAAAUUAAGUGUUUAACCUACCACCAUCUUAAUGGGAAAACAUAUGAAGCAAAUUAUUUAAACAGAGCUUAUUUUAGGAACAAUACAUUGUUUAAGAAAAAAACCCAUCUGCCUGUGAAAAAUUUCUGCCAAAAGAUAUCCUGUCCUUCAGUGGUAAGGUCAGCAAUUUCAAGAGGCCAAACUCUUUUGAAGAAGAUGGGAAGGGGAGAAGCAUUUGGAGGCUGGGUUGUGCUCCUCUACAUCUGCUGUGAUGGGACAGCUGCACUAGGGCAGGGUCCCUGCCACAUGAAGAGACAGAAGACCUGGUUUAGCUGCAUUGGAAAUGGGACUGCCAUUUCAUUCUGCCUGCUGCAACAAUCACUAGGAUCCUCAAGUGAUUUCAUCAAGCUGUCUUCUAUCAUAAAACAUGAAGGAAAUUAAUUUUACUUGCAAGUGAGAGAAUUGGACAACAGCUUGAUGACAAGUUGGAAUGAGAGCAAAAACAAAAAAAAAGUCCCCUGCUAUAGCAACAGUAAUCCAUUUCACACUGUUUCCCACAUGUUUGUGCAGGACUUUUUCAAGUACCACCUAUGGACAUCUUUCCUAUACUUUUACCCAGAGUAAAACUUCACAAAGAGUAGACACAGAAAGGCCAGAACAUCUGGCAGAGUAAAUACCAUAGAUAUAGAAAUGGGAUUAUCAAUUUUACACAGUGCAUUUUCUCCUUUUUUUUUUUAGAUGGCACUUAAAAUCAAGAGCUUUUCUGAGAAAACAUGCAAAAUGUUGUAAAACCACAUCUGAAAACACAACAAAAAUUAUUAAAAACAUCAUUCUGCAUUUAAAGCAUUUACCACAGCCUGAGAAAAUCCUUUUUAUUGUUCAAAGUAAUGGUUGAUCUCAACAUCUGAAAGCAGAUAGAGGGAGGCAAAGAAGCCAAUCAAUCAUUUACCAAAGCAGAGUGUUGCAUAUAUGGUUUUCUCUAUGCAGCUUGCUUUUUUCCUCACAUUCACAAAGUCUUGAUAAUUAA
rnacentral:lncRNA from 1 species